rnacentral:misc_RNA from 1 species
AAUUCUCAACCCCACCAGCUUUUGUGGCUGGCCUUGGGGCUUGGAUGUGGAGGUUUUGCUGGCUGCAAGGUCAGCUCCUCUGAAAUGCAUUAGCGGAACCGUUUGCGAUCCGUCACAGGUGUGAUAAUUAUCUACGCCUAGUGGGUUGCUUUCUGUCUGUUCAGCUUAUAAUCGUCUUCACAGACAACUUAUUGAAC